GGGGAGGCAAGUCUACAGAGCAGUUACAGAACCACUCUGCAGUGACUACUUCAAUCUGUUGACUCAAUAAGCCCUUUAUGCUCCUCUCAUGGUUGGAGGACCACAGGAAAUCAAAAUAGCCUAUAGUGGAAAUUAAACAGCCAGAAACCAUACUAGAAUGGGUUUACGGUAAAGAGACAAAUUAGGAAAAGCCAGGAUAUUCAGAGUUAAGACUGAAAAAGUCCAAUUGUAACUCACCUU